GAUGAACGCUGGCGGCGUGCUUAACACAUGCAAGUCGAACGGAAAGGCCCACGCUUGCUUGGGUACUCGAGUGGCGAACGGGUGAGUAACACGUGGGUGAUGUGCCCUGCACUUCGGGAAAAGCCUGGGAAACUGGGGCUAAUACCGGAAAGGACCACAUGUUGUAUGGUGUGGUGGAAAGUUUUUCGGUGUGGGCUGAGCUCGCGGCCGAUGAGCUUGCUGGUGGUGUAAUGGCCUACGAAGGCGUCGACGGGUAGGCGGCCUGAGAGGUUGUACGUGAACAAUGGGACAGAGUUACAGCCCAGGCAGCUGCGGGGGGCAGCGGUGGAGGAUCUUGCACAAGGGGCGGCAGCCUGGUGCAGCGAAGCCCCGUGUGGGAGUAGGGCCUUCGUGUUGUAAGCGCGUUUCGCAAGGGGCGAGGCGGUAUGUGACGGUACCUGGAGAAGAAGCACCGGCUAACUACGUG
rnacentral:rRNA from 1 species